UACGUAGGGGGCAAGCGUUUGUCCGGAAUUAUUGGGCGUAAAGAGCGCGUAGGCGGUCCGAUAAGUCGGCUGUGAAAGUCCAGGGGCUCAACCCUUGAAAGCCGGCCGAUACUGUCGGACUAGAGUCCGGAAGAGGCAAGUGGAAUCCCGGUGUAGCGGUGAAAUGCGCAGAUAUCGGGAGGAACACCGGUGGCGAAGGCGGCCCCCUGGUUGGAUAC
rnacentral:rRNA from 1 species